rnacentral:lncRNA from 1 species
CGCCGCAUAUUUUACAUACGGACGGAAUCGAGAGCUUUCGAAUUGUUCUGUUUUCUGUAUGGUCAACUUUUCUGGAGAAGCAAGCUGCAUGAUACAGGUUUAUCAUCAGUCAUUUGACUAUGGCCAUGC